rnacentral:rRNA from 1 species
UGGGGAAUAUUGCACAAUGGGCGCAAGCCUGAUGCAGCCAUGCCGCGUGUAUGAAGAAGGCCUUCGGGUUGUAAAGUACUUUCAGCGGGGAGGAAGGGAGUAAAGUUAAUACCUUUGCUCAUUGACGUUACCCGCAGAAGAAGCACCGGCUAACUCCGUGCCAGCAGCCGCGGUAAUACGGAGGGUGCAAGCGUUAAUCGGAAUUACUGGGCGUAAAGCGCACGCAGGCGGUUUGUUAAGUCAGAUGUGAAAUCCCCGGGCUCAACCUGGGAACUGCAAAUGAUACUGGCAAGCUUGAGUCUCGUAGAGGGGGGUAGGAUUCCAGGUGUAGCGGUGAAAUGCGUAGAGGUCUGGAGGAAUACCGGUGGCGAAGGCGGCCCCCUGGACGAAGACUGACGCUCAGGUGCGAAAGCGUGGGGAGCAAACAGG